GGACACACACACAUUAACCUGGUCACACAUUAACCUGGUCACACGUUAACCUGGUCACACACAUUAACAUCGUACUCCACCGGAGACAGGACUGGGACUCAGGUAAGGACACACACACAUUAACCUGGUCACACAUUAACCUGGUCACACACAUUAACAUCGUACUCCACCGGAGACAGGACUGGGACUCAGGUAAGGACACACACACAUUAACCUGGUCACACAUUAACCUGGUCACACACAUUAACAUCGUACUCCACCGGAGACAGGACUGGGACUCAGGUAAGGACACACACACAUUAACCUGGUCACACACACACAUUAACCUGGUCACACAUUAACCUGGUCACACACACACACAUGAACCUGGUCACACACAUUAACC